rnacentral:rRNA from 1 species
AACGCGAAGAACCUUACCUGGGCUCGAAGCGCAGUGGAAUCCGGUGGAAACAUCGGCGCCCCUUAAAAGGCUGCUGCGGAGGUGCUGCAUGGCUGUCGUCAGCUCGUGUCGUGAGAUGUUGGGUUAAGUCCCGCAACGAGCGCAACCCUUAUCGUUAGUUGCCAGCGGGUUAUGCCGGGCACUCUAGCGAAACCGCCCCGGAUAACGGGGAGGAAGGUGGGGAUGACGUCAAGUCCUCAUGGCCUUUAUGUCCAGGGCUACACACGUGCUACAAUGGCGGUGACAAUGGGCAGCUAACUCGCGAGAGCAAGCUAAUCCCAAAAAACCGUCCCAGUUCAGAUUGUACUCUGCAACUCGAGUACAUGAAGGUGGAAUCGCUAGUAAUCGCAGAACAGCAGGCUGCGGUGAAUACGUUCCCGGGCCUUGUACACACCGACAUA